ACCUGCUGCUUCCCUCCCUUAUUACCGUCCCGCGUCUGCAUUCCACAUUCUCCACGGCCCGUUAUCAGCCAAUCAGCUCCCUGGGCACCACCUCUUGAGCCACGCCAUUGGUCAGGCUGCUUUAGCGACCUCGUCCGCGCGAUAACACUGGCCGGGGAGCCGCAGUGGAGGAGGACGUGUAGGGCGGUGACGAGGAGAUAUGGUUUUAUUGCACUGCUCUGUACACGCACGGAAGGAUGGGAGAUAAAAGGAAACAAGGACGGAAAGAGAACGGGUUUAUUAUGGAGAAUCUACAUAUGGAUGAGACUUAAGAUUGUUGAGUGUAUGAGAAAACAACAUAUCAAGAGGUUUAUAAUAUAGUCUACUGGGUUUAACAAGAGUGACAAAAAAAGAAACAUAAACGGAGGAACGGAUUUAUUAUGAAGAAUCUACAUAUGGAUGAGAAUUAGAAUGUUGAGUGUAUGGGAAAACAACAUAUCAAGAGGUUUAUAAUAUAGUCUACUGGGUUUAACAAGUGACAAAAAAAGAAACAUAAACGGAGGAACGGAUUUAUUAUGAAGAAUCUACAUAUGGAUGAGAAUUAGAAUGUUGAGCGUAUGGGAAAACAACAUAUCAAGAGGUUUAUAAUAUAGUCUACUGAGCUUAACAAGAGUGGCAAAAAAAGAAACAUAAACGAAGGAACGGAUUUAUUAUGAAGAAUCUACAUAUGGAUGAGAAUUAGAAUGUUGAGUGUAUGGGAAAACAACAUAUCAACAGGUUUAUAAUAUAGUCUACUGAGCUUAACAAGAGUGACAUAAAAAAAGAGACAAGAACAGAACAACGGAUUUAUUAUGGAGAAUAUGCAUACGGGUGAAAAUUAGUGUUAGGUUUAUGAAGAACAAUGUGUCAGCAGGUUAUAAGUUAUUCCCUCCUAUGCUAAACAAGGAUGAAAAAUGAAAAAAAAAAAGAAAAACAACUGAUUU